CCCCUCGCCCCGCCCCGUCUCGCGGGAAACUGGCAGGUGGAGCUGGGCUCCAGACCCCGCCUGGCCCUGCGGUGGGCCCGCAUCCCCGCCCUCCGCCCAGGGCCUCCCUUCUCCCAGAGCCACCUCACAGCUCCGGGGCUUUUAAGAGCCUCCAGCCGAAGCCCUUUUUACCAAGGACCCUUGCUUCCCAAAGCGUGUUUUUACCAACCAAACUGAAAUUGCUGAGCCGCGGUUCUUUCCUUUUCCGGGUGGAUGCGGGGCGCCCCUCGGAACGCGCAUGACUGAGCUGCACUGAAGAUCCCGUGGGAGCCCGUGCGCCCCUCUCUCUACUCCUCUGUGAGUAGCUGACAUUGUUUCCCCACCCCCACUCCUGCUGUGACCGGUCAGCCCAAACAUGGUGGCCUGAGGGCCGGGAGCUCACUCCGGCCUCUGCCCCACUUCACAUGCCCCCCGCCCCCGCCCCCACCUUGUAAUCAAGGUGUCCUUCCGGAGGAGACUACAGAGGUUGUUAGAGUUCUGGGUAGGGGGAGGGCACACUCAUUAUUUCCAGAGAGACAAGGAUCUUCAGACCCCGCGAUGGAAACCAGAGAACCGUUCGUUGAACGUCAGAAAUCUGACAGCAUCAUCAGUGUCCAUCCAGCAAGCCCCGCAGGAUGGACGAGGCCCUCCCGAAUGUCUUCCCAGCCUCAGAACCUGCACCAGCACCUUGAGCAAGUGCGGAGCCCGCGUGGCCCUACUCGAGGAGCCCUGUCCUGAGGAGCCUCCGCUCUGGGCCCCGAAUUGUAGCCCUGAGGCCCCACGGAGCAGGUCUGAGUCUGAGGAUGUCCCUCAGGUACUCAGCGAGCUCGGUUCAGGCCUCCCCUGCUCUAGCAAGGGACACCCCCCUGCAGCCCGCCGGGGCAAACACCGCGGGGUCUUCUGGAUCCUUCUUCUCUGAUCUGGUCCCAGCUUAUCUCGACCCGUCGUUGAGAAGGGAGGUGCCCGGAACUGAAAAGGAUGGCCGUCUGCAUGCUCAUCGGUCCUACAGAAUGGAACCCAAAUGCCAGGCUGAUGACAAGGAGCGAGACAGACAGACUCCAGCCAUCCUGAAGCUCCCGUCCUGGUAGAGGGGGCGGGGGAUGUGGGGAAACGGACGAGGACAACAUCAGACAGUGACGCUCCGCAGAGCGGAAGCAGGUCCAACGACGAGGCAUGACCAGAGGUCAGGUGGCCUCCGUGAGGGGCUGACAUUCGUGCUGAGAUCUGAGUGACGAGAACAGCUGAAGCGAAGUCCCCAGUGCAGCAGCAGACCCCCUUCUCUGCCGCCUUUCGAAGAGGGAGAGGCGGAGGAGGAAGGACUCAGCGAGCCUCUUCCACACCCGUCCCCACAAGAGCGGGCCCCUUGAAUGCUCUCUCCCUCCUCGUGUCCUAGGGCAGGUGGCUGAAGUAGCCCGGAAGUCCCCUUCCCCACACCUGAGCAGCUGGAAUGGAGGCCCCUGGCUCCCUGCUCUGCUUCCUCCAGCAUCUCGAAAGAACCUUCCCAGAGCACAGAUGGGACCGUGCACCUCCUCUGAUUUAAAACCUCCCUUUGAUCUUCUGGGGAAAAAACGGUGCACUCAGAACGCACAGAUGAUACUCCUUAUCGAAAACAAGCUGUUCCGGGCACCACUGCCUUAGCAGAGAGCGUAACCGACUUGUCCAAGGUCACAGGGCUGGUGACUGCCUCCACUGGGAUUCGAAAAGAAUUCCAAACUCAUGACAGUCGAGGCCAGCUGUCACGGGCCCCUCCAGCGUCUCCCCUGCCUCCCAGGGAGUGGGGAUGCCCCAAAAGGCAGGGCGCGUCCCGCCAUCAUGCUUUUAGCCUCUGCCAAGAACGCUUUCUCACCUGUUGGAGCUUUCCCCACCUCCAGUACCCAGCACGAAGCCACCCCUCAGCGUCUCAUGACCCUGGAAUCCAUCGAUGACACACCUGCCUCCCACUGUCUUUGCAUAUGGUUGUUUCUGCCCACCUCUCGUCCCCCUCAGAGGGCAGAGGCUGGUGCGACAUUUCCCUCCGUGUCCUCACAGACCCGCGAUGAGGCGGUGGCUCCAGGAUGGGUGUCCCCACCACCACCGCCGUCUCCACCGUGCUGUCACGACCACGAGGCUCUGGACGCGGGAGAGCACGGCUCCCCCAAGAGCAUGGACAGCCCCCUCCCCAACAUUUGACUUCCCUCUGGGUCAGAGGUCAAGUAGGCAGAAAGGCAGCAGAAAGCCGAGUUGGGGAAGUGCCUGGCACCAGAGUCUCCGGGUGGCAGAGUGGGUCCUGGGGCUGGCAGGUCACCAAGCAGAGCACCAUUUGUUCCCAAACAGAGUGACUCAGAGCUGAUUUGUGCCCCAGCACCUCCCACCGCGGGGACCCGUGACGACCAGUGCCUGCUUCCUGGGAUUCCUGUGCACAGGCUGUGCCCGUCUGCCCCGUGGAGCAAAGGAGGGGUUAGGGGUGUGGGCACCUGGAGAGUCAUGGUUUCCAGGGAUGCCCUGGGGCAGUGCUCCUUACCCUUGGCUUCUCAUUCUUGGCCACACGAGCACCUGGGAGCACAAAACAGGUGGUCAAGCCUGGGCCCCCGGACCGAGUUGGGGGUCAGAACAUCAGGGGACCCACGUAUGGCCUUUCUCAGCAGCUCUCUGGUGCUUCAGUCGUGUGGCUGAGACAGGAAUCACUGGGCUCUGGGGGCGCCUGGAUGGCACAUCGUGGAGCCUGCUUGGGAUCCUCUCUCUCUCUGCCCCUCCCCCAUCCCUCUCUCUCACUGUCCCUCUCUCUGUCUCUCAAACAAAUACAUUAAAAAAAUGAAAUAAAAUAAAAGGGAUCACUGGGUCCCAGCAAAGGGCAGGCGCAGGCUGGAACGGUAGAGGUGAGAUAGAAAUCGGGUGCCAGUGCCCUGGGCGUGAGGACGGUCUGCAGCGGGGAAGAGGCGAGGGUGCCCCGAGGUGGUAAACAACCGCAGAUGGGCAAGAAGGAGCUUGCAGAAUGGGGCGCCUGGGCCCUUUCCCAGAUACGGUAAAGCCAGAGAGAAGGGCGGGAGGAGCAGGGGAGCUGGCGUGCGGGCUGGGCGGUGGCUGGGAGGCAGGGGCAGGCCUGACUCCAGGGUGCGAGGCUGGGAGAGGCCGGCUCCCCUCCGGCUAGAGGGUCACCGAGCAGUCCCAGUGAGUGAGGGGUAUGGCAGCCAUACUGUGGACCCUCAAACUCAAAAUCGGGACUGGUUUACGGAGGAAAUGGGACACGAUGUCUUAUCUAGAUUUUUCCUGAGAAUCUGGCCCACGGAGGCCCUGUGCCGGGGUGGCAGAGGGGAUGUGCCCUGUGAAGAGCACUGAUCUGAAACCCUAUAAACUGGUACAGUGGCAUCGAUGUCCCCGUCUGUCCUGUGACUCACAGGCCCUGGAAACCCCACAUUUCUACACCGAGAGCAGGCGAACUUGCGGCCGUUAGGUUUUAGCGUCCACCCGGCUGGACCGAGGGACACCCAGAUAGCUGAUGAAACAUUCUUUCUGGGUGUGUGUGAGCAGGGUUGAUGGGGGGGACUGAGUCCAGCAGGUGGCUCUCCCCAGUGGGGGUGGGGGCACCACCCAGACCAUCUAGGACCCAGAUGGAGCAAAAAACCAGAGGAAGAGCAAAUUGGAUCUCUGUUCUUGAGCUGGGACACGCCUCUUCUCCCCACCUGAGACAUGGGCGUUUCUCGUUCUCGCUUUCAGACUCAGAAUUUAUACCAGAGCCCCUCGAUCCUCAGACCCUAAGACUCAGGCUGAAUGACACGGCAGAUGGCGGGACUUCCGGGCCGGUUCCUAUAAUAAAUGUCCUCUUAUGUA